rnacentral:rRNA from 1 species
UUCGCCCUUAGAGUUUGAUCCUGGCUCAGGACGAACGCUGGCGGCGCGCCUAACACAUGCAAGUCGAACGAGCGAGAGAGAGCUUGCUUUCUCGAGCGAGUGGCGAACGGGUGAGUAACGCGUGAGGAACCUGCCUCAAAGAGGGGGACAACAGUUGGAAACGACUGCUAAUACCGCAUAAGCCCACGGCUCGGCAUCGAGCAGAGGGAAAAGGAGCAAUCCGCUUUGAGAUGGCCUCGCGUCCGAUUAGCUAGUUGGUGAGGUAACGGCCCACCAAGGCAACGAUCGGUAGCCGGACUGAGAGGUUGAACGGCCACAUUGGGACUGAGACACGGCCCAGACUCCUACGGGAGGCAGCAGUGGGGAAUAUUGCACAAUGGGGGAAACCCUGAUGCAGCGACGCCGCGUGGAGGAAGAAGGUCUUCGGAUUGUAAACUCCUGUUGUUGAGGAAGAUAAUGACGGUACUCAACAAGGAAGUGACGGCUAACUACGUGCCAGCAGCCGCGGUAAAACGUAGGUCACAAGCGUUGUCCGGAAUUACUGGGUGUAAAGGGAGCGCAGGCGGGAAGACAAGUUGGAAGUGAAAUCCAUGGGCUCAACCCAUGAACUGCUUUCAAAACUGUUUUUCUUGAGUAGUGCAGAGGUAGGCGGAAUUCCCGGUGUAGCGGUGGAAUGCGUAGAUAUCGGGAGGAACACCAGUGGCGAAGGCGGCCUACUGGGCACCAACUGACGCUGAGGCUCGAAAGUGUGGGUAGCAAACAGAAAGAGAUACCCUGGUAGUCCACUCUGUAAUCGAUGAUUGCUAGGGUGUUGGAGGAUGUACCCUUUCUAGUGCGCGCAAGUUGACACAAUAGUAAAUCCACCUGGGGAGUACGCCCGCAAGGUUGAAACUCAAAGGAAUUGACGGGGGCCCGCACAAGCAGUGGAGUAUGUGGUUUAAUUCGAACGCAACGCGAAGAACCUUACCAAGUCUUGACAUCCUGCGACGGUGCUGGAAACAGUACUUUCCUUCGGGACGCAGAGACAGGUGGUGCAUGGUUGUCGUCAGCUCGUGUCGUGAGAUGUUGGGUUAAGUCCCGCAACGAGCGCAACCCUUAUGGUCAGUUACUACGCAAGAGGACUCUGGCCAGACUGCCGUUGACAAAACGGAGGAAGGUGGGGAUGACGUCAAAUCAUCAUGCCCUUUAUGACUUGGGCUACACACGUACUACAAUGGCGUUAAACAAAGAGAAGCAAGACCGCGAGGUGGAGCAAAACUCAGAAACAACGUCCCAGUUCGGACUGCAGGCUGCAACUCGCCUGCACGAAGUCGGAAUUGCUAGUAAUCGCAGAUCAGCAUGCUGCGGUGAAUACGUUACGGGGCCUUGCACUCACCGCCCGUCA